GAGGGCCCGGCGGCGGCGGCGUCCUGGAGGGCCCGGCGGCGGCGGCGUCCUGGAGGGUCCGGCGGCGGCGGCUCCUCAUCCAAAGAAAUGAGGCGACGUUGCGGAGGUCCAGGCGUUUGGCCCGGUGGAGGUCCUGGAGGAGACGGCCUGGAGGUGGAGGACGGCUGGGGGAUCCGGCGGUGGAGGUCCGAAGGCGGCUCGUGAUUAGACCAACCAGCUCCUCAUCCAUGGAAGGAUUGAAGGAGUCACUGGGGAUGAAGAUCACUGCUCAGGGGCUGACGACCCCCCUCCCCCUCAUCUUUCUGGAGAAGCGUCCUCAUGGUGCAGGCGGUCAAACCUCCACCUCUUUGAAGAGACCAAGCAGCUUAAUGACUGACUGGUUCUUUAUACUCCGGACCUCGUCCCGGAGCAGAGGACAGACCUAAGGCCUACAGCGCAGCAGACUAGAGACUCUCUGUGGAACCGGUUCAAUAAAGUUGACCUCUCCUUCAGGUGACUUAAAGGGAGACCAGAUGUGCGGCAGCUGGGUGUCAUGGUGCAGAGACCCAACGCUGCACUGAACUACACCAGUGUGUCCUACUCCCCAUAAACCCUGAGGAUCCCUGGCUACACCAGCACAUUAAUCCACACCCAACAUUAACACACAGUGCACACUCUAUAGAGCUUGUAAGUCCGCCCCUUGCGGCGGGACCUCGUGAGAUCGUAAGAUAUGACUGGGUUUCAAUGGAGAGAAAGUAAUUAUUUUCUCCAUUAUGUUGCACCACAUUUUGGGGGAAGAAUGUUUGAAUCAAUCUUUGUCAUUUAUUUCUGUACUCCAUAUCUGUAAUCCCAGCUGUUGUAUUUUAACACGGUAGCUGGGAAUCCUCUUUAUAGGGAGCGGCUAGAGGGACGAGCCUGGAAGCAAACCUGAGCCUGGAUCUUAACCUUCUUUCUAAACCUAAUGCCGCAAUUUAACCGCAAAUAAAGUGAGGCCUAAAGUAACUUGACUCUCUUACCUAAACUUGCUUGCCUAAACUCGCUUGUCUAAACUUGCUUGCAUAAAACCUAAACUUGCUUGCAUAAAACCUAAACUCGCUUGCAUAAAACCUAAACUCGCUUGCAUAAAACCUGAACUUGCUUAGCUAAACUCGCGUUGCUUGCCUAAUGCCUGAACUCGCUUGACCUGAACUCGCUUGCCUGAACUCGCUUGCCUGAACUUUGCUUGCCUGAACUCGCUUGCCUGAACUCGCUUGCCUUGCCCUGAACUCGCUUGCCUGAACUCGCUUGCCUGAACUCGCUUGCCUGAACUCGCUUGCCUGAACUCGCUUGCCUAGACUCGCUUGCCUAGCGCAAAUAAAGUGAGGCCUAAAGUAACUUGACCCUCUUACCUAAACUUGCUUGCCUAAACUCGCUUGCAUAAAACCUAAACUCGCUUGCAUAAAACCUAAACUCGCUUGCAUAAAACCUAAACUCGCUUGCAUAAAACCUAAACUCGCUUGAAUAAAACCUGAACUUGCUUGGCUAAACUCGCGUUGCUUGCCUAAUACCUGAACACGCUUGCCUGGACUCGCUUGCCUGGACUCGCUUGCCUGGACUCGCUUGCCUGGACUCGCUCGCUUGCCUGGACUCGCUUGCCUGGACUCGCUUGCCUAGACUCGUUUGCAUAAAACCUAGACUCGUUUGCCUAAUACCUGAAGUCGCUUACCUAAAACCUAAACUUGCUUGUCCAAACACGUUACGCAAAGUUAACCAUCCAUAAUCUUGAACCCAAACCAGACUUGUCCCUGGGUCGCUCCACUUUCAUUUAGAAGUUUCUUCUUUAACCUCAUCUACGUUUUGAGUUUCAUUCUUCGAGGGCUUGAAGUGCUUUGGAGGAUAUUUGAACCUUUGUUUUCCGCAUCAAUAAACAUGCUUUAUCUUUACCCAUUUUGUUUUGGAUUGCAUUUCUAUGUGUAAUCUGGCCAAAUGUUCAGUGUCCUUACAUGUAAUGUCUAUGGUCUGACGAUAAUCUGACCUCUUCAUGAAGCAGAAUGUGAUUGUUGUCCCGUGAGCUCCAGGCGCUCUGUGGGCCUGUCAACGUCUCUUUAGCAAAAGGUUGGAGUGAAAUUCAUUUUUGUGCCAUUUUCAUGUGUUCCUGAGUAUUUCAGACCUGUGGUGUUUCACAUGAGACCUUAAAGGGAACUUUUCCUUUUCUGCCUGCAUAUGUAAUGCCUACAUUAGUAGGGUGAUCACUGUUGAUCCCAAUAUUGAUCAUUAACCACCUCAUUCUUUUAUGAUUUUUUUCGUUAAGGAUUACAAAUCAUGUAAUUUAUGAGCAUAUUUGCAAAUGGCUCCAAAUAUCAGAUUGUGUAAAAACUAAUGAAAUAUAACCUGCUUGAUUUAAAGAAAAUAAAACAUCCAAAUAUUAUAAACCUGUUUUGUGUUGCUCUCUUACCAUUUGGAAAUGGAAACGCAGAUAGAUAUUUUUAGCUCUGAUUUGCUGCCUCCCUUUGGUGUGGUGCUGGGAU
ensembl:lncRNA